UACGUAGGGGGCAAGCGUUGUCCGGAAUCAUUGGGCGUAAAGAGCGUGUAGGCGGCCCGGUAAGUCCGCUGUGAAAGUCCAGGGCUCAACCCUGGAAAGCCGGUGGAUACUGUCGGGCUAGAGUCCGGAAGAGGAGAGUGGAAUUCCUGGUGUAGCGGUGAAAUGCGCAGAUAUCAGGAAGAACACCCGUGGCGAAGGCGGUUCUCUGGGACGGGACUGACGCUGAGACGCGAAAGCGUGGGGAGCGAACAGG
rnacentral:rRNA from 1 species